ensembl:miRNA MIR181B2 microRNA 181b-2
AAUAAUGGCUGCACUCAACAUUCAUUGCUGUCGGUGGGUUUCGGGUUCGGUCAGCCCUCUGGCUAAUGAAUGCAAACUGCGGAUCAAACAGCA